UUGAAAAAAAGUGAUACUUCUAAGCCGAAUUUCGAACAUCGGUCUAUUCCAAACGAAAGAGCAUACUUUUUUCUAUAUAAUGGCAUAUUCUUUAGAGAUUUUAUCUAAAUAGUUAAAAUUUUAUGAAGAAUAUAGACAAAAUUUUAGUAUCAAUCGUUAGCGAAUUUCCACGGUUUUUUCAAUACUAAAUUGAAAAAAAUUGAUACUUCUAAGCCGAAUUUCGAACAUCGGUCUAUUCCAAACGAAAGAGCAUACUUUUUUCUAUAUAAUGGCACAUUCUUUUGAGAUUUUUUCUAAAUAGUUAAAAUUUUAUGAGGAAUAUAGA